AUUGAACGCUGGCGGCAUGCCUUACACAUGCAAGUCGAACGGUAACAGGUCUUCGGAUGCUGACGAGUGGCGAACGGGUGAGUAAUACAUCGGAACGUGCCUAGUAGUGGGGGAUAACUACUCGAAAGAGUGGCUAAUACCGCAUGAGAUCUACGGAUGAAAGCAGGGGAUCGCAAGACCUUGUGCUACUAGAGCGGCCGAUGGCAGAUUAGGUAGUUGGUGGGCUAAAAGCUUACCAAGCCGACGAUCUGUAGCUGGGCUGAGAGGACGAUCAGCCACACUGGGACGGAGACACGGCCCAGACUCCUCCGGGAGGCAGCAGUGGGGAAUUUUGGACAAUGGGCGCAAGCCUGAUCCAGCAAUGCCGCGUGCAGGAUGAAGGCCUUCGGGUUGUAAACUGCUUUUGUACGGAACGAAAAGCCCUGGGUUAAUACCCUGGGGUCAUGACGGUACCGUAAGAAUAAGCACCGGUUAACUACGUGCCAGCCGCCGCCGUAAUAC
rnacentral:rRNA from 1 species